CAUGCAAACAGAAAGUGCAUUUUCUCAUUUCUGAACCGUCACCGCUGACAUAUCAUGCAACAAAGAUGACUGAUCACCAGAUUUCACUAACACAGCUGAAAAUAACAAUCAUGCUGCCAUCUUUCUCUUCACUUUAUCCUCCUGUAAUUUGGCUCCAAAUCUCAGUUUCAGAGGAGCAGGAGAGAGGAAACAGGAAGCACUGGACGAAUCGUCUGCCGGAGACUCUGCUGAACGCUCUCUCUCAAGCAGACAUCAUGGACUGCAGCACAGAGACGCUGGAGUCGUCAGAGGAGACGCGUCUCACAGAGGAAGAGUGUGAUGAAGAUGAAGAUGACGUGGAGGUGGAUGAAGAGCGUCUGGAGCCUCGAUCAGAUGAUGAAGACACGAACUUUGAGGAGUCUGAGGACGAGCUGCGGGACGAGGUGAGCGACUCCAUGAGGAACCUCCUCACCACACAGGAGCAGGACGAGGAUCGAGCGGCACAGGAAGUGAACAGCAGAUCAGAGGAAGUGAGGGAGGAGACGCAGCCGUCCGCUCAUGAUGAGUCUGCAGUGAACUGAUCCUGUGUGUUUCAUUCUUUUUGAGCUCUUUUGCUUGCUUUCUUUCAUUCUGUGUGAAUCUCUGUUAAAGUGUAAUUUAUUUCUGUGAUGCGCAGCUGUAUUUUCAGCAUCAUUACUCCAGUCUUCAGUGUCACAUGAUCUUCAGAAAUCAUUCUAAUAUGAUGAUUUGCUGCUCAAGAAACAUUUCUGAUUAUUAUCAAUGUUGAACACAGUUGUGCUGCACAAUAUUUUUGUGGAAACUGUGAUACAUUUUAUUUUUCAGGAUUCACAGAUGAACAGAAAGUUCAGAAGAACAGAGUUUAUUUAAAAACAGAAAUCUUUUGUUACGUUUACUGGCACCUUUCAUCAGUUGAAUGCAGACUUGAUUAAUUAAAUUCAGCUUUGCAAGUUACUGAAUGGGUUUGAUUCAUUUCUUUGGAAUUUAUUCACAACUUUUAUUUAUUUAGUGAACAUGUUUGCUGAAUGUCAUUUUGACUUGUAAUAUUGUAAAUAAAAAUGAUUAAAUAUGAUUCUUGUUCA
ensembl:lncRNA